rnacentral:rRNA from 1 species
CUUGGGGGAAUGUAUAGCAAUUGCUAUUUGCACUAAUGUUAUUAGUGUAAAAUUAACUACGUUGAAUAAAAUUCUGGAUAGAAUUAUGAUAAUGACAUUAUCUGUUCAUAAGUCUUGACCAAAUUACGUGCCAGCAGUCGCGGUAAUACGUAGAAGACAAGUGUUAUUCAUCUUUAAUAGGUUUAAAGCGUACUUAGACAGUAAAUAAAGCCUCCAAAAGGGACUAGUUUUCUAGAGUUUUAUAUGAAGGGGUUUUAAAGUACUACUGGUGUAGAGAUGAAAUUCCGUUAUACCUUAAAUGGCACAGGUUAAGGCGAAAGCAUCCUCUUAUGUAAAAACUGACGUUGAAGGACGAAGGCUUUGUGUCUCGAACAGGAUUAGAUACCCUAGUAGUCUAAGCAGAAAAUGAUGAAUGUCAUAGAUUAGAUUUAAUUUGAUCUAUAAAUGAAAGUGUAGGCAUUCCACCUCAAGAGUAAUUUGGCAACAUUGGAACUGAAAUCAUUAGACCGUUUCUGAAACCAGUAGUGAUGUAUGUUGUUUAAUUUGAUAACCCGCAAAAAACCUUACCACGAUUUGAAUAGAUAUAUUUUAUCAUACAAGCGUUGCACGGCUGUCUUCAGUUAAUGUCGUAAGACUUUGGUUAGUUCCUUUAAAUUAACGUAAACCCUUACUUUAUUUUUAUAUAAAGUAGUUCACCGCUAUAUUGGAUGUGAUAAUAGGGAUCAAGACAAGUCAUCAUGGCCUAAAUAUCGUGGGCUA